AGUGUGAUUGCUGGAUCAUAUGGUGAGAGUAUAUUUUGUUUUAUAAGAAAUUGCCAAAUUGUCUUCCAAAGUAUUUGUACCAUUUUGCAUUCCCACCAGCAAU
rnacentral:pre_miRNA from 1 species